GGGCACGUGGUCCAAUGGCUAGAGCACUCUCACAAUGUGAUGACGACCUCAGCUGACGACGGAUCAGGAGAGAGAGGCCCAGGUCCGAUUCCUGGCGUGUCCC